GAUAUCAAUUUGCAAGGCUAAUUAUAAUCGUAAAAACUUCUUCAUGAGAUUGAUUACAUCCAUUCCAGGCAUUCUGUAAGGCAUUAAAUCAAAGAUUUUAUAGCGAUCCUGGUUUCAAAGAGAAGGCUUUCAAAUCCUGUAGUCAGUCUUCAGAGUAUCCAGAAGUUGGUAAGAGAUGGUACUGAAACAUGGGCUCAAGAUCUAAUGUUGACUGGGGCAAGCUGCCAAGCAGAUUGGUAUAUGCUAUGCUAAUUGAAUACCUUUUGAAAAAUUUUCAAGCUAGAAAGCUGCUAGUCUCAAGUAUUGGAGAUGUAGAGGCCAUUAAAUAAGACUUAGAGCCCAAAUUCACUUGUGGAUCGUGCAGUAAUCCCAUCAUUUUGGAUAAUCUUGACUAUUUCGAAGGGCUUGAGAAGCUAAUGAUUUCAGCUGCACUAUAACUCUUCAAAUCAGUCGUCUAUGUUUCCUUUCCUACUGGGGAAGUUAAGAUUGAGUAGGCUUAAUCUCCCGGAGAGACAUUUAACGGUAAUUGGCAUGUGGCACCAGCUUAAUGUGCUCAAUCUAGAAAGUGCUUUCGAUGGAAAAGUAUGGGAAGUAGCUGAAGGAGGAUUCCAUGAAUUAGGAUUAUUGCUUCUUGAAGCUAAAAACCUGGGCCAAUUGAAGGCUAAUAAAUAUUCCUUCCCACAUCUCCGGUGCUUAUGUCUAAGACUAAGUUAUUGUUUGGAAGAGAUUCCUAGUAGUUUUUCAUAUAUUUUGCAGUUAAUUGAGUUGAAACAGUGAAACCCUUCUGUUGUCACUGUUGACAAGCAAAUUCAAGAAGGGCUGCAUCCAUUACAAUGAAGAAUGUUUGAGAUCAAAAUCGAUGAGCUUGAAUAUGAACAAUCACCAUAUCCACAUGUACAAGAGGACUUAGCGGAGAUCACAGUGAAUAACUACCAUUUGAAAAUGGGCAUUAAGGAUAAUUAUAUUGAGAGCUGUGGGUUCCUUGUGGAUGUAAGAUGCUAUUGCAGAGUACAGGAAAAGAUUGGC